ACACUCCUGCGGGAGGCAGCAGUGGGGAAUAUUGCACAAUGGGCGCAAGCCUGAUGCAGCCAUGCCGCGUGUAUGAAGAAGGCCUUCGGGUUGUAAAGUACUUUCAGCGGGGAGGAAGGCGAUAAGGUUAAUAACCUUGUUGAUUGACGUUACCCGCAGAAGAAGCACCGGCUAACUCCGUGCCAGCAGCCGCGGUAAUACGGAGGGUGCAAGCGUUAAUCGGAAUUACUGGGCGUAAAGCGCACGCAGGCGGUCUGUCAAGUCGGAUGUGAAAUCCCCGGGCUCAACCUGGGAACUGCAUUCGAAACUGGCAGGCUAGAGUCUUGUAGAGGGGGGUAGAAUUCCAGGUGUAGUGGUGAAAUGCGUAGAGAUCUGGAGGAAUACCGGUGGCGAAGGCGGCCCCCCGGACAAAGACUGACGCUCAGGUGCGAAAGCGUGGGGAGCAAACAGGAUUAGAUACCCCGGUAGUCCCAUG
rnacentral:rRNA from 1 species